AUGAAAAAGAAUGGUCAAGUAAAGAGUCGCAGAUUCCAUAAGGGAGAGCACAUUGUGUUCUUGCCUGCCUUGCCUUGCCUGGAAAGGAGAGUUAUCUGGAUCAGGAACGUCAUGCCUCCUGCUGAGGGAGGAGCAUGGAAUAUGUGCAUGGGAGAUGAAAUCAGAAAGGACGAGGAGACAACAGCAUGCUCUGCUCAGAUCUCUCCCAGGAAGAGAUGUGGGUCACCAUAAAAACUGAACGGAUGUUGUAUAUUUUUGAAGGUAAUAUAGAGCUGGAAGUUUACAGAGCACAGAGAUAGUUCAAUAUAUUAUGACAGGGCAUAAAGCCUGUGUUGACAGCACUUCCUUGAAACCAGAUACUAAAGGUCCAUACACUGAGCAGCUGUCACAGAGUAACAUACGUUGAAUUUCACAUCCUGGUGUAUCCCAUGGUAAUUUGUUUGCUUACACUGUCCCUAAGAAUGUGAAACCACUCAGAUGGUUUUUGCAAUGGAAUUUUACAUGACACCUGCAUGUCUAAUCAGAAAGUCACUAAUUUUGUAUGAAAAAAACACAGCCAACUACUACUCACAUCCUGGGAGAAAAAAUAUAUGUAUAUCUAAACAAAAGAAGCAUUUAAUAACUUUAUUUAUUUAUAUUUAUUUUUUUCCUCCACCUCCAAAAGCUACAGAUCCCUUUUGGCCUGGAUUAUUUUGUAUCUGAGUAUGUAUAAUGUAUUUGCUUAUCUGAUACUUGGACGGAUUCCAGGUUAUAUGAUUACUAUGUACAUAACCCACUCCUCACUUUUGCUAUUAAAAAAUCAGCUUGAAGUAUGCCAAUAACUACACUUUAUUGGUUUUAAAUUUACGGUAUGUUUAGUUUUGCUUGCCUUUGUUUUGGAUAAGGAAUUACAUUUCUUUUUUUCCAGAAGACUAGAAAGCUCUAGCUUUAGCCAUGUGUAACACAUAGAUGUUCCUUCCCCCUCUACACCCCAUUAUAGAUAUAUGCUACUUCUGACAUAAGAAAAGUGUUUUAAAUACAAAAUAUCUCAAAUACACAAAGAUAAUCAUUACACAUUCUCAAUAUUACGUGGAAAUUUUGAUUUCUGCUGCACUGCCAAGCCUAGGGUAGGUUGGCAUCCUACUUCACAGUUGGUAGCUCUCCAUACGUGAAGCACCGGUGUUGCUGUUGUGGUUGCUUUAAGAAUUGAAUGCUUUUGUGUUUACUUGUGGUUUAUUUUUCUAGCUAGUGACAAAGUAAACUAUGGUUUAUUUUUGUUUAUUUAGUUUAUCCAUAAACAUGAGUGCUAUGCUGCCACAACGGGGAAUAAGUGGGAGAAUUAAAUGCAAUUACACUUACUGAAAUGGUAUCCAAAUUUCUAGCAAUGCUUUUAUUUUUGCUUAAAGAUCAACAACAACAAAAUACAGGCAAUGAGGAAACUAACCUAUGUAAGGUAAUAGCUCCUUCUCCCUCUAUUUCAACUGAUAUGCGAAAAUUGUUUUUAUUACAGCAUAUGUGAAACAACUGUAUUCAGCAGUGCUACCAAAAAGGUACGGAAGAGAUCAGAUGUAAUGUUACUACGCAGUAAAGAGAUGAAAUUUUGUUUCCAUGUCUUAGGAUAACCAAAGUUUACGUUCUAAAAUAUGUAUUUUGUUUAGGAAAUUAAGAAACCCAGAACAAUAUUUUAGAAGUUAAAUACAAAACAGUAGUAAAUAGUAAAGAGAUGAAACUUUAUUUCCAUGUCUUAGGAUAACCAAAGUCCGUGUUCUAAAAUAUGUAUUUUGAUUUGAAAAGUAAGAAACCCAGAACAAUAUUUUAGUUAAUACAAAACAGUAGUAAAUAUGCAAAAUACAUUUGAUAAGCAGAGCAAUGAGGCAAAAGAAAUUAAGUAUAAUAAUUGAUUUUUAAAAUGCAACUUUGUAAUGCUUGGCUUCCCCCCCACCCCUUAUGUGUAAUCUGUUGUCAGUCUAAACAGUAUAGGCAUGUAACAUAGUGAGUAUUGGUUGAACUUAAUUACCAAAGCAUCAGAAAGGUAAUGACACUGGAAGGCCUGAUAUCCGCAUCAGUACGUACUAACCAUAAUGUGUUUGAGGAAAAUGAGGUUAAAAAAUACAGUUUUGUGAUAUACAGUACUUCUUCAGUAAGAGAACUUGUCCAAAAAGAAGACAUUCUCUCAUAGCACAGAUUUCUUGACCAUUUCAAACAGCAACAUGAAAACUGCUAUUACAGUACAACUGCUAAUGCUGAGUGAUACUUUGGUAAGAACACACAUUCCACAUCUGUGUGCAAUAUUGGACAUUUCACCAUGUUUUGGGAGAUUUUUUUUACCCUGACAUACUUAUUCAAGAGUUUGCUGUGAACCAUUGAGAUUGAUUUGUUUAUACAUUUGAUUCAUCAAAACUAAACACCCUACAUAGGACCAAUAGAGCAGAAUUAUUCAAGUUCAUUGAAAUAUUAAAAUAAAAAAAAAAAAGGCUUCCUUUUUAGGAAAACU
rnacentral:lncRNA from 1 species